rnacentral:rRNA from 1 species
AUUGAACGCUGGCGGCAGGCCUAACACAUGCAAGUCGAACGAGUGGCGGACGGGUGAGUAAUGUCUGGGAAACUGCCCGAUGGAGGGGGAUAACUACUGGAAACGGUAGCUAAUACCGCAUACCAUCGGCGGUGCCCAGAUGGGAUUGGCUAGUAGGUGGGGUAACGGCUCACCUAGGCGACGAUCCCUAGCUGGUCUGAGAGGAUGACCAGCCACACUGGAACUGAGACACGGUCCAGACACCGACGGGAGGCAGCAGUGGGGAAUAUUGAACAAUGGGCGCAAGCCUGAUGCAGCCAGGCCGCGUGGAUUAAGAAGGCCUUCGGGUUGUAAAGUACUUUCAGCGAGGAGGCGUUACUCGCAGAAGAAGCACCGGCUAACUCCGUGCCAGCAGCCGCGGUAAUUC